rnacentral:rRNA from 1 species
AUACGGAGGAUCCGAGCGUUAUCCGGAUUUAUUGGGUUUAAAGGGAGCGUAGGUGGAUUGUUAAGUCAGUUGUGAAAGUUUGCGGCUCAACCGUAAAAUUGCAGUUGAAACUGGCAGUCUUGAGUACAGUAGAGGUGGGCGGAAUUCGUGGUGUAGCGGUGAAAUGCUUAGAUAUCACGAAGAACUCCGAUUGCGAAGGCAGCUCACUAGACUGUUACUGACACUGAUGCUCGAAAGUGUGGGUAUCAAACAGGAUUAGAUACCCUGGUAGUCCACACAGUAAACGAUGAAUACUCGCUGUUUGCGAUAUACAGUAAGCGGCCAAGCGAAAGCAUUAAGUAUUCCACCUGGGGAGUACGCCGGCAACGGUGAAACUCAAAUGAAUUGACGGGG